rnacentral:lncRNA from 1 species
CAGAGGCCCGGUCCAAAUGAGUACAACCUGCAGAGUGGCUGUGGCAGGCCCACGCAAAUGCAGAGCAGCCCUACCCACACAACUUCCAACAGAUGGGGUGGGAUCAGAAAACAUAGCUCCUAUUCCCCCACCCCCUCCCAGUGGUGGCAGGUGGAAACUGUGACCUGAUACUACCACAAAUACGCUGGCAAAGGAUCAGUUCAUUAAACACCAUGAAAAACUACAAUAACACUUCAGAGCAGAAGGAAAAUGACAAGUCUCCAGAAACCAAUCCUGAAGUCACAGAAAUUUACAAUCUAAAUGACAGAGAAUUCAAAAUAGUUGUCAUAAAGAAACUCAAUACUUUACAAGAAAACUCAGAAAGACAUUUCAAUGAGCUCUGGAGUAAAAUUAAUGAGCAGAAGGAAUACUUCACCAAACAGAUUGAAAUCUAAAAAAAUCCCCAAAACUCUAGAUAUGAAGAACACAAUUAAUGAGAUAAAAAAUAAUCUAGAAACCAUAAAAAAUAGAGCUGAUGUUAUGGAGGGCAGAAAUAGUGAGGACAGAAAUAUAGAAAUGCUUCAAGUAGAGGAGGAGAGAGAACCAAGAUUUUUAAAAAAUGAAGAAAUUCUUUGAGAAAUAUUUGACUCAAUCAGGAAAAGCAAUAUAAGGAUUAUAGGUAUUCCAGAGGGAGAAGAGGGGAAGAAAGAAGCAGAGAGUUUGUUCAAAGAAAUAAUAGCUGAGAACUUCCCAAACCUGGGGAAGGAGCUGGAAUUACAAGUAAAUUAAGCAAAUAGAACUCCUAAUUACAUCAAUGCAAAAAGACCUUCUCUAAGGCAUAUAUUAGUAAAACUGGCAAAAGUCAAUGAUAAACAAAAAUAUUAAAGACAGCAAAGCAGAUGAAAAUAACCUACAAAGUAACCCCUAUCAGGCUUUCAGCAGAUUUCUCAGCAGAAACUUUACAGGUUAGGAGAAAAUGGAAUGAUAGAUUCAAAACACUGAAAGACAAAAACUUUCAGCCAAGAAUACUCUAUCCAGUGAAACUAUCCUUC